rnacentral:rRNA from 1 species
AUCAACUUUCGAUGGUAGGAUAGAGGCCUACCAUGGUGGUAACGGGUAACGGGGUGUUAGGGCACGACACCGGAGAGGGAGCCUGAGAAACGGCUACCACAUCCAAGGAUGGCAGCAGGCGCGCAAAUUACCCAAUCCCGACACGGGGAGGUAGUGACAAUAAAUAACAAUACGGGGUUCUUUUGGAUUUCGUAAUUGGAAUGAGUACAAUUUAAAUCUCUUAACGAGGAACAAUUGGAGGGCAAGUCUGGUGCCAGCAGCCGCGGUAAUUCCAGCUCCAAUAGCGUAUAUUAAAGUUGUUGCAGUUAAAAAGCUCGUAGUUGAAUUUCGGGGUUAGUAGGCUGGUCAUGCCACAGGUAUGCACUGGUCUUACUGAUUCCUCCUUCCUGAUGAACCGUAAUGCCAUUAAUUUGGUGUUGCGGGGAGUCUGGACUGUUACUUUGAAAAAAUUAGAGUGUUUAAAGCAGGCUAACGCUUGAACACAUUAGCAUGGAAUAACGAAAUAGGACGUUCGAUCUUAUUUUGUUGGUUUCUAGGAUUGACGUAAUGAUUAAUAGGGAUAGUUGGGGGCAUUAGUAUUCAAUUGUCAGAGGUGAAAUUCUUGGAUUUAUUGAAGACUAACUACUGCGAAAGCAUUUGCCAAGGAUGUUUUCAUUAAUCAAGAACGAAAGUUAGGGGAUCGAAGACGAUCAGAUACCGUCGUAGUCUUAACCAUAAACUAUGCCGACUAGGGAUCGGAUGAUGUUAAUUUUAUAAUGACUCAUUCGGCGCCUUACGGGAAACCAAAGUGUUUGGGUU